GCUUGAGCUACUCCAUGUUGCCUUGUUCCUCUUAAUGUGCAUGUGUCAGGGGACGGAAUUUUCCAUAGUGGGCAUGUCUGGGCAAAUCACUUGUGUAGCCUUUUUUAUAUUGUGGCUGUGGGCAUAUCCUAGGCAAACCCCCCUGUGCAAGUUACCUUAUCUGUGCCUGUUGGCUAUUCUUUGGUUUGAAAGAAUUCUUCCAAGGAUCCACCCUAACUGCCUGCCUGACUCGUUUCUUCCUUUCCCCUCUCAGUAAGGGAGAUGUUUCCUAUUAUCCUUGAUAAUGUGCCAUGAACAUAUGAAAAAACAUAGAAACAUGAAGAAAACAAGAAGACAAAAAUCACUAACAUCUGGUUGGCUGUAUAGAAACAAAGCUGAUUCUGGUCUCGCUCUAUACCCCAGGUUGGAGUGCAGUGGUAAGAUCACAGCUCACUGCUGCCUUGACUUCCUGGGCUCAAGUGAUUCUCCUGCCUCAGUCUCCUCAGUAGCUCGGACUACAGG
rnacentral:lncRNA from 1 species